rnacentral:rRNA from 1 species
AAUGAACGCUAGCGGUAGGCCUAACACAUGCAAGUUGAACGCAUACUUUUACAGUAUAAGUAGCAAACGGGUGAGUAACGCGUGAGAAAUCUACCUUACAAUCUGGGAUAAAAUCCCGGAUUCUUUCUAAACUAGAUGUUCCGACAAAUAGUAUAGAAUAAAAGAUUAAAUGUCGUUGUAAGAUGUGCUCGCGUAGGAUUAGGUAGUUGGUGAGGUAAAAGCUACACCAAGCCGAAGAUCCUUAGCUGGUCUGAGAGGAUGAUCAGCCACACUGGGACUGAGACACGGCCCAGACGCUUUCGAGCGGCAGCAGAGAGGAAUUUUGGACAAUGGGCGAAAGCCUGAUCCAGCCAUAUCGCAUGAGUGAAGAAGGCUAAAUGGGUUGUAAAGCUCUGAUUUGAUUGAAGAUUAUGACAUAAGAUAAAAGAAUAGUCCCGGCUAACUUCGUG